CUGGGAGCUACUGUCUCUGGUGGAGAAGUGACUCUGCCUUGCUUAUGAGACAUGUGGAGAUACACCAACACAGUAUACAACAGAAGCCAUAAUCACAGGACUCAGGAUAGGCCACAGGAUUAAACAGGACACUCCAUACUAUAGAAUCACCCUCCAGCUCAGCAGGUUGGGGUAAUGCACCUUUCAACUGGUUAGCCAACCAUGUGGAGAUGUAGGCCCAAGCAGCAGCUUCCUAUCGUGGAAA